AUGGACCACUUGUAGACUCCGUUUCCUGAGCGCCGUCCACACGCGCCGGACGACUGAUCGCCACGCUUUGUGAGCC
rnacentral:sRNA from 2 species